CUUUGUGCACCAGGUGAAGAGAACUCUGAAGAGAUGUCACCUUGUUUCUCCCCAGCCCUUGCCCAGCCAAAAAGGACCUGUGAUAUCUGAAAGCAGAAGCAGGAAGACUAUUUUCAGAUAAGUCGCUUACACUGGGAUUCACAGAGGAAAAGACCGAGUCCUUGCUCUGAGGUUGCUCUAGGAUGAAAGUGGGAAAGCAAACUGGCAUGAGGAUACGAUGUAGUAGAGGAAUGAAGAUUCUGAAGUUCCAAAGCUGGUCCCCUUUAAAAAUACAUAAGUG